rnacentral:pre_miRNA from 1 species
ACGUGCUUCUUUACAGAACCACAUGCCGUGCUCGUAGUGUGGAAUGUAAAGAAGUAUGUGU